rnacentral:lncRNA from 1 species
AGAAUUUAUAUAUGAUGUCUUCUGAGAGCAACAGUUAGUGUCAGUAGAAGCCUGUUUAUUUUUAUUUUUUUUUGACAGACUGAGAAAGAAUCACUACUGAGUACAGAGGCAAGGAAAGGAAAAAAAAAAAAACAAACAGACAAAAAAAACAACACACUUCAAACAGAAAGUACCCAAAGUUCAUAAAAAAGGCACGUAAUCAUAGUCUUCCUAUGGUUAUACACACACAUGUGCAUGAUCACAUCAGUCCUUAACUUCAAUGGGAGUUGCUCACAUGUGUCUUUGGUCAGAUCUUGUCCCUAAGCUGAUGUAUGUCUGAAGGAAGUUUGGGCUCUGAUUCAGGUUCAAAUCAGGUUCAGUAUGGAAAAUCCUGAACUUAGAGCCAGACCCUAAAGCAGUCCUUCAAAGAGGCAAACAAACAGAGCAGACCAGCUUUUCUCCCUAGCUAGAGCUCUCUAGCCUUAGUUCAGGUCUAGCACACCCCUCUGCCUCCCUCUUAACCAAAAUAAUUAUUUUUAAAGGGAUCUUUAUUUCACUCAGGAGAAUACAGUACAGGCAGUUGGCUAGUGAUGGUGCCUUGGAGCUCAGCCACCUGGGGCGAGUGUGAGACUGCACAUGGAGGGGAAAGGAGAAAGCAGCAAGUGACAGAGACCCUGCUGCUACAAGAGCCUGGGAGACUCAUCCCAAAGAUUCCCAAAGUAUUGCCUGCUCUGCUGUUGUUGAGUGGAGAAUGAACUGCUCUGAUGACUACAUGACUGCAAAGAUUGGAUUUUGCAGGAGGGUGUCGAACAAAUGGGACCUGUCCUUUUCCUGACAAAACAGUGAAGGUGCUUAGACUAGAUUAGAUUUAUCUGCUUCCGUUCCUGGGGCUUGUUGCUUACUCUUGGUGAAAAUUAAGUAGCCAAAGAAAAAGUAUGCAGUAUGCAGCAGACUGAGAGCAUCCAGUUACAAUUCAUCCUGCCAUGAGCUCCAGUCCAAUCAGUUUAGGGAUGGCUAAACAAAUUAAUUAUAAAUAUAAGCUGCAGUGCAGUUAAUUGCUUGUCACUGAGAAGUCGUGCUGAUCUCAUACCAAAUGGCACAGAGAUGUGUCACUGACUGGAACCAGUCCUUCAGCCCAAAUACCAUCCCACUCUAGCACAGCCCCCAGGAUGCUCGUGCGAACAGUCUCAUUUUGGAAUUGCUAUGCUUUCAUAUUUAUCAGGAAAAACUGGG